GGGCAUAUGGUGUAGGGGUUAUCACGUUCGCUUUGCAUUCGCAUGCGAAAGGUCUCCGGUUCAAAUCCGGAUUUGUCCA